UUGUCGUCGGGCUGCUGGUGGUCGGGCGGUUGGUGUUCGCCCAGUAUCUGACGGCUCCGGCGUUGCAGGCGUGGGCGACGAUC
rnacentral:tRNA from 1 species